rnacentral:rRNA from 1 species
CUGGCGGCGUGCCUAAUACAUGCAAGUCGAGCGAACAGACGAGGAGCUUGCUCCUUUGACGUUAGCGGCGGACGGGUGAGUAACACGUGGGUAACCUACCUAUAAGACUGGGAUAACUUCGGGAAACCGGAGCUAAUACCGGAUAAUAUUUCGAACCGCAUGGUUCGAUAGUGAAAGAUGGCUUGCUAUCACUUAUAGAUGGACCUGCGCCGUAUUAGCUAGUUGGUAAGGUAACGGCUUACCAAGGCAACGAUACGUAGCCGACCUGAGAGGGUGAUCGGCCACACUGGAACUGAGACACGGUCCAGACUCCUACGGGAGGCAGCAGUAGGGAAUCUUCCGCAAUGGGCGAAAGCCUGACGGAGCAACGCCGCGUGAGUGAUGAAGGUCUUCGGAUCGUAAAACUCUGUUAUUAGGGAAGAACAAACGUGUAAGUAACUGUGCACGUCUUGACGGUACCUAAUCAGAAAGCCACGGCUAACUACGUGCCAGCAGCCGCGGUAAUACGUAGGUGGCAAGCGUUAUCCGGAAUUAUUGGGCGUAAAGCGCGCGUAGGCGGUUUUUUAAGUCUGAUGUGAAAGCCCACGGCUCAACCGUGGAGGGUCAUUGGAAACUGGAAAACUUGAGUGCAGAAGAGGAAAGUGGAAUUCCAUGUGUAGCGGUGAAAUGCGCAGAGAUAUGGAGGAACACCAGUGGCGAAGGCGACUUUCUGGUCUGUAACUGACGCUGAUGUGCGAAAGCGUGGGGAUCAAACAGGAUUAGAUACCCUGGUAGUCCACGCCGUAAACGAUGAGUGCUAAGUGUUAGGGGGUUUCCGCCCCUUAGUGCUGCAGCUAACGCAUUAAGCACUCCGCCUGGGGAGUACGACCGCAAGGUUGAAACUCAAAGGAAUUGACGGGGACCCGCACAAGCGGUGGAGCAUGUGGUUUAAUUCGAAGCAACGCGAAGAACCUUACCAAAUCUUGACAUCCUUUGACCCUUCUAGAGAUAGAAGUUUCCCCUUCGGGGGACAAAGUGACAGGUGGUGCAUGGUUGUCGUCAGCUCGUGUCGUGAGAUGUUGGGUUAAGCCGCAACGAGCGCAACCCUUAAGCUUAGUUGCCAUCAUUAAGUUGGGCACUCUAAGUUGACUGCCGGUGACAAACCGGAGGAAGGUGGAUGACGUCAAAUCAUCAUGCCCCUUAUGAUUUGGGCUACACACGUGCUACAAUGCAAUACAAAGGGCAGCGAAACCGCGAGGUCAAGCAAAUCCCAUAAAGUUGUUCUCAGUUCGGAUUGUAGUCUGCAACUCGACUACAUGAAGCUGGAAUCGCUAGUAAUCGUAGAUCAGCAUGCUACGGUGAAUACGUUCCCGGGUCUUGUACACACCGCCCGUCACACCACGAGAGUUUGUAACACCCGAAGCCGGUGGAGUAACCAUUUGGAGCUAGCCGUCGAAGGUGGGACAAAU